UUGAGCCAGGCCUUGCUAGGUCAGUUGAUUAUUAACCAUACAAUUUUCUUCAGUUUAAUCAAACAUGGGUUUCUCUUACAAGGACUGAACCGUUACUGUGGUGAAAUAUUUGCUUAUCCAAUAUUUCUUCAAAGCGAGAUGUCAAAGAAGGCAAAGAUUACCUUUUUCGGUAUGGAUGUUACAUGCAGUUAUUGGCCUUACCUAAACAAAAUAGCAGAAGGGUUACCAGAGCUUCUGCCAUGGACAGAAAUGAGGCCAUUUCUUAGUGUAAUGCAUGCUAAAGCCUGUACAGCAAAAAGGUUAAGAUGUUGUGGCAGAAGCCAGGAUGGAGCAGGAAACACACUAGGAGAGGAAGUGGA